CGAUCUAUGGCCAAAUUGGUAAAGGCACACAGACAUUGGUAAAAUCACAGGCGAGGAUGCGGGUUUGAGUCCCGCUGGAACGG
rnacentral:tRNA from 1 species